rnacentral:lncRNA from 1 species
AUGGUCCACGGAGGAGCCAAACUGCAUGGGGCAAACUCGUACCAGUGCCCCUGGAGCAGGGACGGUGCAGCCACAACUGCAGCCCAAGGACGGGGACAGGACCAGCACGAGGAGCCCCACUUUGCCGUGGUUUACAACAAAAACUUGGCUGGGAACAGGAAGCAAAGGGAGGUGACGAUGCCCAACUCAGCUCGCGCCACGCAGCCUGCGUUGGGCUGCUCCACCCACCGAACAGAUCUGCGCAAAGAGCCCCAGGACGGGUCUGGGGAACCCACCUUUGAUGCUGCUGAGGGACAGCGAGCGAUCCCGGUCCGCCAGGCUGGGCGCCAGCUUGCUGCUGCUGCUGCUGCUGCUGCUGUUGUCCUUCUGCCGGGCCACGGCCACGGCGAUGCCGACGGGCAAGUGCCUCACCUCCACCUCGCCCUGGGAGCUGAUGCUCUCACGGCCGAAGGAUUUGGCACUCUCGGGUCUCUCGGGAUCCCUCUUCAGCUGCUUCGCCGGCUGCUGCGCCAGCAGCUGCUGCACUUUGGAGGUGCCCAGCUGCGAGGAGUCCAACUUCAUGUUGCCCAAGCCGCCGAAGGGGCUUUUCUUGCCGCAGCUCUGCCGGGACGCGGUCUCCUUGGCAAAGCUGCCGCUGUACUUGAUGAGGCUCUGCAUGGCCGAGCCUUCACCGUGGGACGUGGGGUGCAAGACGUCGGCAGCGCCCCGCGAGCCCACCACCGAGGAGCGCGGCAAGCCGCUGGGGUCCAGGUAGACCUUCUUGGCCUCCUCCUCGGCCCGGGUGACGUGGUUGUGCUGGGCGGCCAGCACGGCCAUCUGCGUGGUGGCAAAGUUGCCCAUCUCAAAGGGCUUCCACUUCUGCUCGGGCGGCUUCAGCUGGCCGUGGUCCAGGUGCUGCCGAGAGGAGUCCAAAGUGCCGUAGACCUUCGCCGCCUCCUUGGAGCCGGAGCGCUGGAAGCGGUCCCGCUCGCAGGGCCGAUGCUCUGCCUCCGGACUCGGCUUCAGCAAGUCCUUGGAGGCCAGGAACUCCCUGCUCUCCGGAGAGCCCAGCCCCGGCCGGUUGAGGAAAGGCUCCGAAGCGACCUGCCUCUUCAGCGCCAUGGAGUUGGCCCUGAUCACCGAGCCCUUCUCCCUCAGCGCCUCCAUCCUUUUGGCAUCGCUGUGGCAAGAGAAGUCCUGGGACAAGAGCGUGCGGGAGGCGUCCGCGAGGCACCGCUCCGUGGGCGACUGCAGCACCCCCACCUUGCCGAGGUCCUUGUCCUUCGCCUUGUUGUCGCGGGCCUGCGAGGCGAUCUGGAUGGGCCCGCUCCUCUCGUCGUAGGCCUCGACCGAAGGCACGAAGGUGGGGGCGAUGACUUUGUGCUCCCUCCCCAGCUCCUUGGCCGGCGGGAAGAUGGUGUACAUGCUGGAAUGGACGGGCUGCGGGGGGAAUGUCGUGGCAGGCGUCAUCUUCCCCGGCUGCGAGGGGUGCGGGGACGGGCAGCUGCAGGAGACGUGCAAAGCGCCCACCGACGGCAGCAGGGGCUCGCCCCGCUUCAGCCGCUCGGCGUGGGCGUGCGCGGAAGGCCUCAUGUUCUCGUCGUGCCGAGCGGGGUCCUUGGCGCAGCGGUCCUGCUCGGCGCCCAGGACCUUCAGCAUGGGGUCCCCGCCACCGUUGCAGUUGCUGAGGGACGAGCUCUGCAGCGGGUUCUUGGACUUGGGUUCCCCGCCGCCACCGCCGCCGCCCCGGUUUGGCAAGUGCUCGGCCAGGAAGGGCGAGAGGCGCUCGCCCACCUUCACCGCCUUCUCCACCACGCUCACCUUGCGGUCGCUGUCGGGCUUGGUGUCCUGCGUGAGGUCUACCACGCUGCGGGGCCGCGGCUCCUCCUUCGGCUUGCCCUCCUUCUUGGCGAAGGGCAGGGAGAGAUCGCUCCGGCAUCCCCGCUCCUUCCCGCCGGGGUCCUUCAGGCUUUCUUUCGAGCUCUUGUGCAGCUGCCCGAGGUCCUUCUCCCGGAGCAGGGUGCUCGGCGUGUGGCUGCCCGCCGUCCUCGAGAGGGGCGGCUGCGGGUGCAAAGCCGACUGGCCCGCGUGGCUGGACAGGUAGAAGCCAUCUGCGGAGCAAAGGCAGACAAGAUUACCAGGGCAGACAAGAUUAGAAGAGACAGGGGAGCGGUGGCCAGCUGGGAGGGAUCGGGUUUUGAGGAUGUCUCAGCAGUGAGUCAGAGAGACCAGGAAGGACCAGGGCAGAGGAGAUGGGGCAGGAACCUCUGCAUGACCCAGGCGGGACGCGGGACAACCCUGUCCGCUGCACGCCGAGCCUUCUGCUGCAGCAGCAUGCAGGAGCUGCAAGGCACAACCCGGCCACGUUCCCCGCAGCACAGCCAUGUUCAAGACCUCAGUACUGCUAGAACCCAAGAAAUAUCCCUUGGCGAUAACCCCAGGGGGUGCAGCUCUCCCCUUGAUGUCCCCUAUCCCAAAGAUGUCGAGUGCUGUGGGGCGGACAAGGGGAAGGACAGGAGGGACCCCCGCUCACCUUUCUGCGACUCGAAGAGGCUGUGCUGA